GCCAAGCUCAAAAACAAUCUAAAUCAAAGGCUAGCACUGGAUCAAUUGCAGAGAUGCUCAUCAAAAUAGCCUAAAAAGGCCCGCAACCUAACUACUCAAACCCAUUACAAGAUCCAACCCAUAAGAAAAGAAAAAACCUUAGGUAGCAGAGGAAUGCCGCAACGCCGCCGCAAAAGGAUACACACCAGGCCCGCAAGAGGAUACACACCAGGCCCUACUUGCGCUGCCCACAGAGAUGCAACACCGCCACACUCACCCUCCUCUAAGAAGAGGAACCAAGAAGAUAGAAGAUAAACAGGUCUUGCAUGCACCAGCAAGUCUGUUGCAGAGGCAAGAAAAAACAACCUAGGUACCAAAACCACAAAGGUAAAGUUAUUGGUCAACAUUGAAGAACCAUGGAAGCUACCGAUCAGCACAAAAACAAGCAAGGGGCAACAUCGGCAGGACUCUUUGGCGUCCCAUUGGCACCUUCUGAGCCAACCUUCCACAUCACACCCUGCGAGCAGAACCACGAGACAAGAACUGGUUCUUGUGCCUUACAAGACCAAAGAAGCACACGACGUUCAGAGAGCUUCCAUAACCAUUACAAUCCCUCACAACCAUGUAUAUCCCCAUGAUACUAGCUGUUUCAGGUCAGUCGAAGAGAAAGCCUCACCGGUGAAGCUAUAGACCUGCAAAAGACAACCCAAAACACUAUAUACAAGCCGCAAGUCGACAACGAGAAAGGGACAAGCCCUAGAACAAGGAAAAAAAAGGAGAGAUGAAGAAGAAGAGAGAGCGCAU
rnacentral:misc_RNA from 1 species